rnacentral:rRNA from 1 species
UAGAGUUUGAUCCUGGCUCAGAUUGAACGCUGGCGGCAGGCCUAACACAUGCAAGUCGAACGGUAACAUUUCUAGCUUGCUAGAAGAAGACGAGUGGCGGACGGGUGAGUAAUGCUUGGGAACUUGCCUUUGCGAGGGGGAUAACAGUUGGAAACGACUGCUAAUACCGCAUAAUGUCUUCGGACCAAACGGGGCUUAGGCUCCGGCGGAAAGAGAGGCCCAAGUGAGAUUAGCUAGUUGGUAAGGUAACGGCUUACCAAGGCGACGAUCUCUAGCUGUUCUGAGAGGAAAGAUCAGCCACACUGGGACUGAGACACGGCCCAGACUCCUACGGGAGGCAGCAGUGGGGAAUAUUGCACAAUGGGGGAAACCCUGAUGCAGCCAUGCCGCGUGUGUGAAGAAGGCCUUCGGGUUGUAAAGCACUUUCAGUUGUGAGGAAAAGUUAGUAGUUAAUACCUGCUAGCCGUGACGUUAACAACAGAAGAAGCACCGGCUAACUCCGUGCCAGCAGCCGCGGUAAUACGGAGGGUGCGAGCGUUAAUCGGAAUUACUGGGCGUAAAGCGCACGCAGGCGGUUUGUUAAGCUAGAUGUGAAAGCCCCGGGCUCAACCUGGGAUGGUCAUUUAGAACUGGCAGACUAGAGUCUUGGAGAGGGGAGUGGAAUUCCAGGUGUAGCGGUGAAAUGCGUAGAUAUCUGGAGGAACAUCAGUGGCGAAGGCGACUCCCUGGCCAAAGACUGACGCUCAUGUGCGAAAGUGUGGGUAGCGAACAGGAUUAGAUACCCUGGUAGUCCACACCGUAAACGCUGUCUACUAGCUGUGUGUGCCUUUAAGGCGUGCGUAGCGAAGCUAACGCGCUAAGUAGACCGC